rnacentral:rRNA from 1 species
CUAGUUGGCGAGGUAACGGCUCACCAAGGCAACGACGGGUAGCUGGUCUGAGAGGAUGGCCAGCCACAUUGGGACUGAGAUACGGCCCAGACUCCUACGGGAGGCAGCAGUGGGGAAUCUUGCGCAAUGGCCUAACGGCUGACGCAGCGACGCCGCGUGUGGGAUGAAGCUCUUCGGAGUGUAAACCACUGUUGCCCGGGACGAACAGCUCGAUUAAUCGAGCCUGACGGUACCGGGUGAGGAAGCACCGGCUAACUCCGUGCCAGCAGCCGCGGUAAUACGGGGGGUGCGAGCGUUGUCCGGAAUCACUGGGCGUAAAGGGCGCGUAGGUGGUUUGAUAAGGGUGUGGUGAAAGUCCGGGGCUCAACCCCGGAUCUGCCGUGCCGACUGUCAAACUCGAGGGCUGUAGAGGCAGACGGAAUUCCGGGUGUAGCGGUGGAAUGCGUAGAGAUCCGGAGGAAGACCGGUGGCGAAGGCGGUCUGCUGGGCAGUUUCUGACACUGAGGCGCGACAGCGUGGGGAGCAAACAGGAUUAGAUACCCUGGUAGUCCACGCCGUAAACGAUGGGUACUAGGUGCCUGGGGGAGCGACCCUCUGGGUGCCGGCGCUAACGCAGGAAGUACCCCGCCUGGGGAGUACGACCGCAAGGUUGAAACUCAAAGGAAUUGACG